rnacentral:rRNA from 1 species
UGCCUAACACAUGCAAGUCGAACGGACCUUUAAUUUUGAAGCUUCGGCAGAUUUUUUAACGGUUAGUGGCAAACGGGUGAGUAAUGCAUAGGUAACUUGCCCUCAAGCCUGGGACAACUUUCCGAAAGGGAAGCUAAUACCGGAUAAUCUUUUCGAAUCUACUGGUUUGAAAAGCAAAGAUUUAUCGCUUGAGGAGAGGCCUAUGUCUGAUUAGCUAGUUGGUGGGGUAAUGGCCUACCAAGGUUACGAUCAGUAGCUGGUCUGAGAGGACGGACAGCCACACUGGGACUGAGACACGGCCCAGACUCCUACGGGAGGCAGCAGUGGGGAAUAUUGGACAAUGGGGGCAACCCUGAUCCAGCCAUGCCGCGUGAGUUUAAGGCCUUCGGGUUGUAAAGCUC